rnacentral:rRNA from 1 species
UACGUAGGGGGCAAGCGUUGUCCGGAAUUAUUGGGCGUAACGCGCGCGCAGGCGGCUGUUUAAGUCGGGUGUUUAACCCCAGGGCUCAACUCUGGGUCGCACCCGAACCUGGACGGCGUGAGUGCAGGAGAGGAAAGCGGAAUUCCACGUGUAGCGGUGAGAGGCGGAGAGAUGUGGAGCAACACCAGUGGCGAAGGCGGCUUUCUGGUCGGUAACUGACGCUGAGGCGCGAAAGCGUGCGGAGCAAACAGG